UGCGGCUGGAUUUUCCAUCUGUAAGAAUUUGGAAGGUAGACUUCAUAUUUAUGAUGACCCUCCAGCCUCCCCAACAUGCUACAGCCCAGAAUGAGACAAUCAAACAGCACUAUGUGCUAGGUAUGUAUAUCAAGAUUUAAAGUGCUCCCACAUAAUUCUGAUAAGGACAAACUACAUACACUAAAGGUAUCUAACUUAACUAUGCACAUAUGCAUUUACUGAAGCAGCAAUCUCACACACACAUUUGAGAUUCUGAACACUGCAGCCUCACCUGAUAUAAAUGAGAUCUGUGUCUCGGCUGACCACUGGCUGUCCUUCCUUCUGGAGACUCUGUGGUCUGACAGCGACACCCUUGCCAGCAAUGAGCCUCGCCUGGAGCUUCCUGGGGUGGACGAGCAGUGUGUCUCGGUGGCUUGUGGGGUAAGGAGGCCACACUGGUGAAUGCCUCACUUAGCACAUCAGCAUUGAAGGAAGGAUAGUGCCACUUCUCUUCCUCCCUUUGGCUUCUGUCAUGACUCCUGUACAUCAAGCUGACAUAAGUGAGGGAAGUAGAAACACCUCUAAUCUAUAAAUAAAUGAAAGGGCAAGGAGAUUCACCACAAGCACCCACCUGGAGGAGGCAGAGUACUGUGUGUCCCCAGCCAAGGGGAACCGUUGCCUGCUGCUGUGAGGGAGCACUGAAGAUGCUCCACUCACCUGGGAGGCAUUCAGGAUGGUGAACACAUAGGCAAAGAAGUGGUUACUGUUGAUGUAGAGGAGACCAAACACCCAAGUCACUCCCAGGACACAGUUGAGGGAGAAACUGCCCUUGAUGUACAACCUGCAAGCAAAGGAAAGCAAAGUGAUGCACUAAAGUGCUACUCACAUGAUGCGGUGGUGCAGGGACUUCCUCUUGUUUGCCGUGAGGAUGGCAGCGGAGCGAAGGGCACUCACCAUGAAGAUGGCAUUGGCCUAGGAGACAAAGUUGUGUAAUCAAGAGGUUCAUGGAGGAUGACUGUUGGCCACUAACUCACCACAAUGACCACCACCAGGGGCCCAGUGAAUGCCCAUAUGUAUCCUUCCUCUGCAGUGAGCCAGCAGCUAUGAAAGAAGAGAGGAGUGGGUCACAUUUUACAAUCACAAAUCAUAACAGACCCGAAGGAGACAAGCAGUGUGACCAGCACCACCACCAAUGGCACCCCAUAUCCUAUCAUCCUGGUGAAAGAAGAUGCAUGAGCUUAUUGGAGCAACUGAAUUAUUUCCUAUUGUACUCAGUGUUUAAAUCUCUUCAAAUUCGUUCAGACAGACAGCAUGACCUUUCCUCUAUGUAAAACAUCAUUAUUUAUUGAAAGGAUAAUGUUCUUUGUAAAAUUUAAAGAAUUAUAAAUAACAUGAUUUAAUAUCUUACAU